rnacentral:lncRNA from 1 species
AUGCUGGGAAUCUUAGGUGGGCCGGUCCUCCGCUGGGCUUCUCGGGCCUUUGCGGCGUGCGAGGGGGAGGAUUGGGGGGCCCCCGCUCUGGCAGCUGAGGCUUUCCCUAACUCCUGGGGAGCGGGAAGACCUCGGAGGACCCAUUUCGGGCGCCCACCGAGGACGUCUCCCCCCUCGGGGCUGCCACCCCCUGAAGCACCCCAGGGUGGCCCCGCAGAGAGCCCGCAGCCAGAGGAAUGGCCCCCGGGACCCCGAGGCCCCCCUCCCAGACUAAGGAACUCUGAGCGGAAGAUCCAGACUUGUCAUUGUGUUAGUGAAAGCUGGAGGCGGCCCCUCCCCCAGCCUGGAGCCUAUUCUGGAGAGCUGCUCACAGACAACCAGAAUGGUAAGAACCGCAGAGGGGUUUGGGCAGGAGGGUUUGGAACACGUGAUACAGAGUGCAAAGUUCAGCCCGAGGUCAGAGAAGAGAAUGGACUGAGUCGUGCAGAGGAGCCUCUCGUGGGCAGAAACCUGCGAAGGGUCCUGACCAGCCGAGGCUGUGUGGCCUCCUCAGGCCGUCUCUGUGCUCCGCGUUCCCGGACAAUGACACAGACCUGAAGCUGCUGACAUUCUAAUGCACCAACCUCCACCCCUUCCAGCGCUGCGGCCUUUAUUCCACUCUUGACAGACACACUCGGUAGAAUGACUGGUUCCUGAUCACUAAUGUAAAGGCACUGAAAGGACUUUCCUCUCACUGUGACGUCAGACAGAGGGCGGGUCCAUGGAGGCCUUGUAGAGACUUUCGCCCAGACCUGGAGGAAUCCUCAGGCGCAGAGGCUGGGGGGACAGUAGUGAAGGCCGGGAAGAUGCACGGCCAGGAACAAGGAAGUCCCCGGUCGCUGCAUUCAGAGUAGGGAAGGGAAUAAGGGGAGAGGGAAGCUGCUGGGCGGGGGGGGGGGGGGGGGGGGGAAGGGGGGGGGGGACCCCCCCUUCAAGGGGGUGCCCCCCCCCCGGGGGGGUUAAGGGCCCAAGAAGAGUCUUAGGUGAGGAGGGGUUCCU